AUUGGGUUUAAAGGGUGCGUAGGCGGGCUGGUAAGUCAGUGGUGAAAUCCCGCAGCUUAACUGGAGAACUGCCAUUGAUACUGAUAGUCUUGAAUAUUGUGGAGGUAGGCGGAAUAUGUCAUGUAGCGGUGAAAUGCUUAGAUAUGACAUAGAACACCAAUUGCGAAGGCAGCUUACUACGCAAAUAUUGACGCUGAGGCACGAAA
rnacentral:rRNA from 1 species